rnacentral:miRNA from 1 species
CUGUGCACAGAGUACUGGACUA